AAGGUUGACCUCGGAUCAGGUAGGACUACCCGCUGAACUUAAGCAUAUCAA
rnacentral:rRNA from 2 species